rnacentral:rRNA from 1 species
GACUACAGGGGUAUCUAAUCCUGUUUGAUCCCCACGCUUUCGUGCCUCAGUGUCAGUGUCGGCUUGGUAAGCUGCCUUCGCAAUCGGUGUUCUAAGUCAUAUCUAAGCAUUUCACCGCUACAUGACUUAUUCCGCCUACCUCAACCGAACUCAAGACUAACAGUAUCAAUGGCAAUUCCCAAGUUGAGCUCGGGGCUUUCACCACUGACUUAUCAAUCCACCUACGCACCCUUUAAACCCAGUGAAUCCGGAUAACGCUUGCACCCUCCGUAUUACCGCGGCUGCUGGCACGGAGUUAGCCGGUGCUUAUUCCUUAGGUACCGUCAAGUUCUGAUGAAUCAAAACGUUUCUUCCCUAAUAAAAGAAGUUUACAAUCCGUAGGACCUUCAUCCUUCACGCGGCAUGGCUGGGUCAGAGUUUCCUCCAUUGCCCAAUAUUCCCUACUGCAGCCCCCCGUAGG